AGUGUAGGCGGUUUAGCAAGUCGGAUGUGAAAUCCCAGGGCCCAACCCUGGAACUGCAUCCGAUACUGUUAGGCUAGAGUCCCGGAGAGGAUGGCGGAAUUCCCGGUGUAGGGGUGAAAUCCGUAGAUAUCGGGAGGAACACCAGCGGCGAAGGCGGCCAUCUGGACGGUGACUGACGCUGAGACUCGAAAGUGUGGGUAGCAAACAGGAUUAGAUACCCUGGUAGUC
rnacentral:rRNA from 1 species